GAUGAACGCUGGCGGCGUGCCUAAUACAUGCAAGUCGAGCGAACGGACGAGAAGCUUGCUUCUCUGAUGUUAGCGGCGGACGGGUGAGUAACACGUGGAUAACCUACCUAUAAGACUGGGAUAACUUCGGGAAACCGUAGCUAAUACCGGAUAAUAUUUUGAACCGCAUGGUUCAAAAGUGAAAGACGGUCUUGCUGUCACUUAUAGAUGGAUCCGCGCUGCAUUAGCUAGUUGGUAAGGUAACGGCUUACCAAGGCAACGAUGCAUAGCCGACCUGAGAGGGUGAGCGGCCACACUGGAACUGAGACACGGUCCAGACUCCUACGGGAGGCAGCAGUAGGGAAUCUUCCGCAAUGGGCGAAAGCCUGACGGAGCAACGCCGCGUGAGUGAUGAAGGUCUUCGGAUCGUAAAACUCUGUUAUUAGGGAAGAACAUAUGUGUAAGUAACUGUGCACAUCCUGACGGUACCUAAUCAGAAAGCCACGGCUAACUACGUG
rnacentral:rRNA from 1 species